rnacentral:lncRNA from 1 species
CAUCCCUCUGUGCACGAGGCCCCCUGAUAGCUCCUUGCAGGUUCAAUUUCCUCUUCUUAUAAGAACAGCAGGCAGAUUGGAGUAGGGCUCACCCUAAUGGUCUCUUUAAACUUAAUCGCCUCUUUAGAAAUCCAUUCUCUAAAUACAGUCACAUUCUGAGGUGUUACGGGUUAGGGCUCCAACAUACGAGUUUUGGGGAAGCACACUGCCGCCCAUACAAGAAGUCUUCUCAAAAUGGACGCUCCCUCAUCGCCUCACACAGCUCUCCAAGAGGCAGCUGACCCUAUGGACCCAACCGCCUCUCCGAAGAGUAGCUGCGCCCUUGGUAAAGGAGGAAAUGGAAAAGGAGAAACUCAGUGAUCUCAGACAGACUGAAGCCAAGAAAUAGAUUUGAAAAGUUCCAGAAAUUCUCUCACUUUGGAGACGCCCCCACACACACUGCACCCUGCCACCUUUAAAAACCCCUGCUUGGAAGCCAUCAGGGAGUUCGGGUCUUAAGCGAUAGCUGCUCAUUCUCCUUGGCUCUGCUCACUGCAAUAAAUGUCUCACUUUCUCUCACUGC